UACGGGGGGAGCAAGCGUUGUUCGGAUUUACUGGGCGUAAAGGGCGCGUAGGCGGCGUGACAAGUCACUUGUGAAAUCUCCGGGCUUAACUCGGAACGGUCAAGUGAUACUGUCGUGCUAGAGUACAGAAGGGGCAACUGGAAUUCUCGGUGUAGCGGUGAAAUGCGUAGAUAUCGAGAGGAACACCUGUGGCGAAAGCGGCGCACUGGACCACAUCUGACGCUGAGGCGCGAAAGCUAGGGGAGCAAACAGG
rnacentral:rRNA from 1 species